UCAAUUUUGUUUAUGCUAUGAUAAUUAUACUUUCUCUAUUUCUUCUUGUAACUAAUAUCCGAGCUCUUAAUUGUACUACCGCCAGCCAAUGUGUUAAUAAUCGUUGUUACCUUCAUGGAAAGCCAUCAUGUUUGAAUGGUCAAUGUGCAUGCGUUUAACAGUUAAGUAGAAAAUAAUUAAUUAUAUUUAAGAUUAUGGUUUUAUUUUUAUAUUAUAGUAAAUGUUGUUACUUUUAUUACUACUCCCACACUUUUAUUUAUAUUUAUCAUAUAUUUAAGUUUCUUUGACGGGAUAAGAAACAUAACGCAAGACAAAUGCUUUAGUCUCAAAUAAUUAUUUGUAUCAUAUAUUGUAAAUCAAACAAAAUAAUGUGUUUUGACUACACUUUCCUUAUAUUAUAUGUGUUUUAAAUAACA